GACGAACGCUGGCGGCGUGCUUAACACAUGCAAGUCGAACGAAGAGCGAUGGAAGCUUGCUUCUAUCAAUCUUAGUGGCGAACGGGUGAGUAACGCGUAAUCAACCUGCCCUUCAGAGGGGGACAACAGUUGGAAACGACUGCUAAUACCGCAUACGAUCUAAUCUCGGCAUCGAGGAUAGAUGAAAGGUGGCCUCUACAUGUAAGCUAUCACUGAAGGAGGGGAUUGCGUCUGAUUAGCUAGUUGGAGGGGUAACGGCCCACCAAGGCGAUGAUCAGUAGCCGGUCUGGAAGGAUGAACGGCCACAUUGGGACUGAGACACGGCCCAGACUCCUACGGGAGGCAGCAGUGGGGAAUCUUCCGCAAUGGACGAAAGUCUGACGGAGCAACGCCGCGUGAGCGAUGACGGCCUUCGGGUUGUAAAGCUCUGUUAAUCGGGACGAAAGGCCUUCUUGCGAAUAGGGAGAAGGAUUGACGGUACCGGAAGAGAAAGCCACGGCUAACUACGUG
rnacentral:rRNA from 1 species